rnacentral:rRNA from 1 species
CCUACGGGAGGCAGCAGUGGGGAAUAUUGCACAAUGGGGGAAACCCUGAUGCAGCGAAGCCGCGUGAGUGAAGAAGUAAUUAGUUAUCCAAAGCCCCAUCAGCAGGGAAGAAAAUGACGGUACCUGAGUAAGAAGCCCCGGCUAACUACGUGCCAGCAGCCGCGGUAAUACGUAGGGGGCAAGCGUUAUCCGGAUUUACUGGGUGUAAAGGGAGCGUAGACGGCAGUGCAAGGCUGGAGUGAAAGGCGGGGGCUCAACCCCCGGACUGCUCUUGAAACUGGACGGCUGGAGUGCGGGAGAGGUAAGUGGAAUUCCUGGUGUAGCGGUGAAAUGCGUAGAUAUUAGGAGGAACACCAGUGGCGAAGGCGGCUUACUGGACUGUAACUGACGUUGAGGCUCGAAAGCGUGGGGAGCAAACAGGAUUAGAUACCCGAGUAGUC